GUUCGGAAUUACUGGGCGUAAAGGGCCAGUAGGCGGCCAACUAAGUCCGACGUGAAAUCCCAAGGCUUAACCUUGGAACUGCGUCGGAUACUGGAUGGCUUGAAUUCGGGAGAGGGAUGCAGAAUUCCAGGUGUAGCGGUGAAAUGCGUAGAUAUCUGGAGGAAUACCGGUGGCGACGGCGGCAUCCUGGACCGACAUUGACGCUGAACGGCGAAAGCUAGGGGAGCAAACGGG
rnacentral:rRNA from 1 species